rnacentral:ncRNA from 1 species
CAUCGUGAGGUGGAAUCUGAAGGAAGUCGGAUGGCAAAUCUUUGGUCUGGCAGACAGAAGUCGAAUUUAAGGCAUGGUAUAUCGAGUAAGGCUGCCAAACAAACUUAAGCCCAAUAACUAGUGGCAGGUAUACGGUGUAAAUGUGGCAGAUAGAUGAAGCGAAG